AUUGUGAUUUAAAAGAAAAAAUGGGUCUAAAUGGGGGGUUGAGAAUGCGACGAUUUGACCCAAAAUUAUAGUUUAAAAAGGGUUUUUGAAAUAAAAAUUAGAGUCGCCACUUGGUAAUGAGUUAAGGUGUACCAAGUCACCUAAAAAUGAAUUUUUAGAAAAAAUAGGAAAAAGUAGUAAGAAACCCCUUUUAAACGACUUCUAGUUCACGUAAACCAACGAAAAAGGUUCGGGAGUCACAUUUGACGAAGGGGAAGGCAAGGAUAAAAAUCCAAGGCACCCCUUCGACCUAGCCAAGGCUAGUUGCGUUGAUUUAAUCAAAGAUUUUCUUGUUUUAACCAAAGAAUUUAUUACAUUUGGAUGUACUACAUGAAUGCAAACCCUAGGCCUAGGGGUAUUGGGGAAAUUUCUCUUCAAAGGUUGAGUGGUGCCAAUCACAUUAAUUGUGAAGCCCAAUAACGAUCCUUUGAAGAAGUCACGAAUAAUGCGAGUGGGAUGCAAAUGAAUGGAAUGCAUGUAUGCAAUGUGAGGACAUGAGCUUGAAAAAGUAAUAAAAGACAAUAAAUAUGUAAAUGAAAAUGUGCACGUGAGUGGGCAAGGUACGGUAUGUGAAAUGAUAAUAUGAAGUGCAUGUGUGCAAGUGAUGAUAAAAGUGUUCGUGUGCAAAUAAAGAAACAUAAAGGUGCACGUGUGCAAAAUGGGAGGAAAAAUGAAAGUGUGAUGAGGGUAUAAAAUGGUAGAGUGGAUUUAAAGAUGCAUGAGCCUAGGGAAUUCAUGCAUAUUGGGUACGGGGAGACCUAAAUCGUGACUCAAUUUGCCCUUUUAUAGAGGGAAUACAAGCGUGCUAAGACUUAGAAAAAGCCACACUCGUCUAUAUCCCAUAUUUAAGGGGACUCUCAAGCAAAUGAACCCUAUAACUAGCAUGAAAAUGCAAAAAUCCUAAAAUGGAGGGAAAAGGGGUUCGAGGGGCAUGCAAAAUGAUAAAACUAAAAAGAAUGCAUGACAUGUAAUGAACAUGCAAACAUGUACUAACGAGGGGAAAUCCCUAAGGGUCUAGCGUUGGACUAACCCAUUCUAUGAAUUCCGACUAGCGUUGGACUAGUGGAAACGUACAUUCAUCCAUCACAUUCAUUCAGGCUAUGAAAAGCGAGUAGACAUGCCAAACACUUAUAAACACAUAGCACAUAACAUUUAGCAUGCUCGACUAGAUGCAAGGCCCUAACAAAGCAAAUUAACACGUAGUAACUAAGCAUGCAAGACACAUAAGACAAUUAAAGCCCUAACUAUUACAUUUGCUAGUUAGGCACAUGACUUCGAUAGGUCUUCAUUGAAUGCUCCUCCAAGCCCUAUCUAUUACAUUAGGGAGACCCUACUACAAUCUAAAAGGGGGAAAAGGAAUAAAAUAAUUAAAUCCCUAACUAUUACAACUUUGGCAUUCAAGUGCCUUUCAAAUGAUCAAAUUGAACUAAAAUAAAUGUACAAAACCCAUAAAGUAAAUAAAUAAAUGAAUGAAAUGAAUAAAACAUUCAAGACGCAUAAAAUCACACAUGUAAAGUCACAUAAGGCACGUAGAGUCAAAUAUAGUAAGAGAUAAGAGAUUAGGGUGUACCUCCCUUGAAUUAGGGACUCAGGAGAUGGAUUUUACUUAUUUACCCUCCAAAAUAAUAAAAAAGUCAAGGCAUCACUUUAAACAAGAUAUAAUUACAAAAGAUAGACAUGAAAUUGAAUCAAUUAAAUCAUAUAAACAACCUACUUUAAGAAGACAAAACAAUGAAGGAUUUGAUUGCAAAAAUUAACAAAAGUUUGAGGUCAAAAUUUAAAGAAAAAUAAAAUUUAGGGACCUAUUUGCAAUUACAUUAGUGACCCAAUUGAAAGAAGCCUAAAGUUUUUAGGGCCAUAACAUAAUUAAGAAAAAGUCUGAGGACUGAUUUGCAAAUCCGUUUUCUGAUUUCUUAAUGGAUCAGGCCACUGGGCCAACUUUUGUCUAUUUUUGGGCCAAAGAUCCCUUCAGCCUGCCGCAAAGCCCAGAGGCUACAUAUGGGCUGGCCUCUACUUAUCAAUAAAACAAACCCCAUCCAACGAGUGGGCUUUACCUCCUAAGCCCAACCAGAAACCCAAACAAAACAAAUUAAAUCCACUUUUACAACUCCAAGCAAAAAAAAAUUAUUACCCAACCUAAACCAAAACUAAAACCCAACAAGAUUAGCAAAUCAACUAAAAUCAUCAAGCCACAAUUAUGAUUUAAAACUCAGAAUUAAUCUAUCCAAAAAGUCACAAAAAUAUGCAAAUAGAGGAUUAAACUAAAAAGGGUAAAAUUAGUUCAAUUUUCCCAAAUUUUGGGCCACAACAAAAUUAUGCAGAGAUUGAGGGGUGAAACUGAAAUUUUCUGAAAUUAUGCUUCAUGCUUCGCAGAGGCUCUCUUCUUCGAUGCAAAUAAGAGGAAAAGUUUCUGCAACUUUUGAUGCUUCUCAAAUCUAGUAAACUAUCGGACAAAACACUCAAACAUAGCAUCUCAACAUGCAAAUGAUGAAAAUGGAAGAAAUCAACUUCAGAAAUCAUGAUUUUCUUUCCCUCUGCUCGACUAGUGAAUGUUCAGGUUCUGACCAGCUUUGCACUGGCCAGAACUCUUCUCAAUUGCGUACAGAAAUUAUAUACAAAUCUCUUUUUUGGUUCAAAUUUCUGGUUCAGGCAUUUCAACAAACAGCUACUGGGCAUUAAAAGUUUUAGCAAAUCUCUGCUCAAUUGGGGUUAUAAUCAGCCCCCAGAUUGUCAGCAAACCAAAGAAAUUCAAUCCAAACAAACACAUACAUCAUGUGUAUUCAGAAAUUGAAACAAAUUAACAGGAGAAUUGCGCAAAAAAAACGACGGCAGACCCAUUCCAAAAGUUUUACAAGAACCGAAAUUUAAAGAGGGAAAACAAAUAGCUUACCGUACUCCUGCUUGGUGCAAUUUUGUAGGUGAUGAUGGUGGAUUCAGGCGGGAUUAUGGAGGCUCCGGUUGUCCCUUCGCUCUGCUUCCUUUCAGACUCCAUCUUGUCACGCUCAAGCAGCAAAAGACCGUCGACAGGCUCAGGCUUGACAUGGCCCGUUGCCCUCUCGGUCUGCCUCUGCUUACCACCCUUUGCAGCAGCCAUUUCUCCUCCGCGAUGCCUGUCUCAAACUCAACAACGACAGAGGCUGAGGCAGCGGCAUCGACGGCCUUAGCCGCUGGAGUGGAAGAAGUGGAACCCCCCCUGCUGGUUGUUUGACCACGAGGCCGUGACGAUUUGAGCGACGCCGAUGUUGCCGCAGUUCCUCCGAGUUUUAUCCACCGCACCCCUCCUCUCUUUCUUUCUUCUUCUGUUUCUUUUUAGCCUCCGAUGAAACACUCUCCUUUUUCUCUCAACCGAAGCUUUUUCUGAUUUCCGGUUUUUUCCUCUGUUUUUGGCUUCCAAAAUUCCGCCGCCACCUCUCUGUUGCCUUUUUUUUGUUUUUCUCAUCUGAGGGCUCCCUCUCGGUCUUUCUCUCUGUUCCAGCCGCUACUCCCCUUUCUCAUUCUUUCUUAGCUUCCGUUUUACUCUGCCCGAAAUUCCUCCUCCAAGUUCCAGAUUUCAGCCGCAAGCCUCCCCUGUUUUCUUUCCUCUGUUUUUUAGCCGAAACCUUCCCUAUUUCUUGCUCUCUGUUCUUUUUCUCUGUUUUCUUGUGUUCCUCCGUCCUCGAGAUGAAGCCCUGCGUUCUCUUUUCUCUUGCGCAGGCCCUUUCCCUAGCUUUCUUUCAUUUUUCCCGAAGCCCCCCUUUUCCUCAAGCUCUCCGACCGUUUCUGUUUUAGUCUCCUAGAUUCCUUGUUGUUUUCCUUUUUUCGAUUUCUUUCUGUUUCCUCCCCGUCGCUCUUCAGAUUUUUCCGGUUCCUCUAGCCUCUGCCUCUCGUUUGUAAAUCUCUCCUUUGCCGAAGACCCCCUUUUUUCUUUUGCCCUCUGGCCUCUGUUUUUCUUUUUUCAGCCGUAGCUCCUCUCCCCAAAACUCCCUUGUUGCGGCUCUCUUUCUUUUCCUAUUUAUAUGGCACAUUCAACCCUAAAACCCCCAGCCACUUCCUCUGAAAUUACAGCCAAAGGGCUGCCAAGUCCUUCUUUGCAAGCUGCGGCAACACGCAGCUUUUGGCAUGCGUGACUCUUUUUUUUUUUUAUAACUUAAUUAAACAAAAUUGAAAAUAGUAAAAAUAAAUAACAAAACAAAUUAAUUAACAUUAGAAACAACAAUGUGCAAUUUUCAUUUUUCAUUUUCCAUUUUCAUUUUUCCCUCUUUUUUUUUUCUAAAUGAACCAAACGAAAAUAAAAUAAAAGAUAAAUAAAGUAGAAAUGACUAAAAAUAGAUAAAUAAAGCCAAAUAAAACAAAAUUGCUAUUUUUCUUUUUCCUUUUUUUUUCUUUUUUAUGAUUUUUCUUUUUUUCUCUUUUUUCAAGAAAUUCUAUGCUAAAACUUAAAAAUAAAGAUAAAAAUAAAACUAGAAACUAAAAACCAACAAUCGAAUAAAACUAACACGAUAAAUAAAAAACUAAAAAUAAACAGUAAAUGAAAUUACACCAAAAAUUUGGUGUCUACAGUUUGCCUCUCUUUGUCUGAGUUUUGGAAAAACUUGAGACAAAGAAUUAGACACCAAAUACUUACCUGCGUUAUUCGGCUGCGAAUUACUCAAACGAUGGGGACUGACCCCUGACAGGAAAUUUUAAAAUCGGGACUGACCCGAGACAGAAAUUUAAACGGGACUAACACGAAAAGGAAUUUAGACGGGACUGACCCGAACAGAAAUUUAAACGGGACUGACCCGAGACAGAAUUUAAACGGGACUGACCCGAACAGAAUUUAAACGGGACUGACCCGAACAAGAAUUUAAAACGGGACUGACCCGAACAAGAAUUUAAACGGGACUGACCCGAACAGAAAUUUAAACGGGACUGACUCGAACAGAAAUUUAAACGGGACUGACCCGAACAGAAUUUAAAUGGGAUAGACCCACGGGAUAGACCCGGACAGAAAUAUAAAAUUGGGAUAGACCCACGGGAUAGACCCGGACAGAAAUGUAAAAUUGGGAUAGACCCAAACAGAAAUUUAAAUGGGAUAGACCCAUGGGAUAGACCCGAAUUGAAAUGUAAAUAGGAUAGACCCACGGGAUAGACCCGGACAGAAGUGUAAAUGGGAUAGACCCAAACAGAAAUUUAAAUCAUGGGACUGACCCGAAUAAAACUUAAAAUCAUGGGACUGGCCCGAAUAAAAACUAAAAUCAUGGGACUGGCCCGAAUAAAAACUAAAAUUAUGGGACGCACGCUAGUGGGACUGAUCCACGGCUAACGGCGGGGUAAAUGAAAUGCUCACUGGCGGGACAAACCACACGCUCCAGCGGCUGUGAAAAUGAAGUGCUCACUGGCGGGACUAACCUCAUCUCCAGUGGCUAUGAAAAUGAAAUGCUCGCUGGCGGGACAAACCACACGCUCCAGUGGCUAUGAUCAUGAAAUGCUCACUGGCGGGACAAACCUCAGCUCCAGUGGCUAUGAAAAUGAAAAGCUCACUGGCGGGACAAACCACACGCUCCAGUGGCUAUGAAAAUGAAAUGCUCACUGGCGGGACUAACCUCAGCUCCAGUGACUAUGAAAAUGAAAUGCUCACUGGCGGGACAAACCUCAGCUCCAGUGGCUAUGAAAAUGAAAAGCUCACUGGCGGGACAAACCACAUGCUCCAGCAGCUAUGAAAAUGAAAUGCUCACUGGCGGGACUAACCUCAGCUCCAGUGGCUAUGAAAAUGAAAAGCUCACUGGCGGGACAAACCUCAGCUCCAGUGACUAUGAAAAUGAAAUGCUCACUGGCGGGACUAACCUCAGCUCUAGUGGCUAUGAAAAUGAAAUGCUCACUGGCGGGACAAACCUCAGCUCCAGUGGCUAUGAAAUGCUCACUGGCGGGACAAGCCUCAGCUCCAGUGGCUGUGAAAAUGAAAUGCAUACUGGCGGGACUAACCCUAUGCUCCAGUAGCGAUGCAAGUGAAAUGCUCACUGGCGGGACAAACCCAGCUCCAGUAGCAAUGAGAAUGAAAUGCUUACUGGCGGGACAAACCCAGCUCCAGUAGCAAUGAGAAUAAAAUGUUUUGACAAUCGGACAGUGGGAUAAAAUCCGAGCCUGCCGAGGAUAAAAGCGGUCAGUGGGAUAAAAUCCGAGCCUGCCGAGGAUAAAAGCGGUCAGUGGGAUAAAACCCGAGCCUGCCGAGUGACAAAAGCGGUCAGUGGGAUAAAACCCGAGCCUGCCGAGGAUAAAAGCGGUCAGUGGGAUAAAACCCGAGCCUGCCGAGGAUAAAAGCGGUCAGUGGGAUAAAACCCGAGCCUGCCGUGAUGAACUUGAUUUGAUUUUUGACUUUGAUUUUUUUGAUUGACUUUUUUGAUUUUUCCUUUUUUUCUGAUUUUUCUUUUGAUUUUUCCCUUCCUUUCGGAUCUUUCCAAGAGAAUUUUUUCAAAAAUAAUUUGCCCCAGUGUCGGGUCCAUUUUUCCCUCCUUCUUCUUGCUUCUCUUUGCAGUAUCGGCCUACCGCCUCACUGGAUGCUUUUCAUCAUUUUGAACCAUGAAUACCUGCACAGGGGCUUAACAAAGUAUGACAUGCACUCAAAUUUCUUAUUUGGAAAGAACAGCAUGAUUGGUUUGACAUCUUCAAAUGUAUUACAAAAAUUUUGCCCCAGUGUAGGCUAUUUUGCAAAAUCUCUCACACGAAAAUUUGCCCCAGUGUAGGCCUAUUUAAUUGCAAAAAAUUUGUUUGAAUGACCCUCCAUUUAUUUGAACAAAGUGAGCAAUUACUUUUCCUAACAUAGCAUGUGAAGAAAUUGAAAUGUCUUGCUUAAACUCAUAUAGAAAAUUUCAUGAUGAAUUUUUCAAAACAAUGCCAAAUUAAGAAGGAUUUCUUCCCCACUUUAGCAUCAAUGCUUUGGGUGAUGGGUCACUAUUUCUUGUUGGCUCGUCUGUCAGGACCAACCAAGUGACUUUAUUUGGAAAUGGCUAAAGGAAAAUGGGAGGUCAAGAUUUGUCUUAUUCUUGUGCCCAAAAUUGUAUGUAAUCCCUUCAAUGUCACAUCUUAGUGAAAACAAAGAGUUUGUCACCCUUAUUUUCAAGAAAACUUAGUCAACAUACAAGCUUUCUAGGCAUGCAACGUAUGGACAGAAGUGAUAGCUAAACAUGUGGAAACGGGUUAUACCCUUAUGAUCACAAAUGAUUUGAUGAAUUUCUUAUGAGCAUGAUCCUCACUUUGGAUUGUCAUGAAGGAAUAAGUCAACGAUGGACUUUAUGAACUUGUAAUGUGGCUUGAAAACGAUAGUUAAAGAAUAAGACUUUCAGGGAUAUCGCACCAAAAAUCGCAUUUUUCCAAAAUUGCCCCUAUUUUGAACUCAAAAGAUUUCAGACUUUGUUUGGAUUUUCUCAUCAUUCCCCAGGGACUUCAGCGUCGAAUUUUUCUGCAUCUUCUUGCAUUUACUUUUCUUGCUUUGCUUUUUGCCUCUUUUUCCUUUCCCUCAAUUUGGUGGGUUUUCACAUGGUGAGUAGCGUCAACCCCAUACCCAAGCAAUUCAUCAAUACAGCUAAAAUUUUCCGGCAUCAGAAAUUUUCUUGACAGGGCCAUUGCAAAGAACAGAAGUCAGGACUUUCAGCUUUUGUAAUGGGGUCAGGUGGGGUGUUUAGAAAAGUUAAGGCUUGAAAGCAGAUUUCAAGAGUGGUUUAAAGAAUCUGAGAUCGCAUUGUUGUGUCAACCCUAUUUUAUGGCUAAAUCAGAAUUUUGCCCCAAUUUAUGCUCAAUUUUCUUUUGAUUUUUCGACCUUUUGCCAUUCUUUUGAAUUUUCACAAAAUUUGCCCCAAUUUAUGCUUAACCGAGGUUUUCUUUUUCCCUUUUGAUUUUGUUGCUUUAUCACUUUUCACCUCUUGGGACUUUCCUUUUCAACUCAAACUUGCCCCAGUGUGGGGUUUGCGAUUCUCAGGGGUUGCCAAAUGAGGUAUUUUAUUCUGAAGGCUCAAAAGGGAUAACUAGGGAUAGAAUGUUUGAUUGGAAAAGAACAGGACCUGACUUUUAUUCCGUUCCUUACAAUAACUCUGAAAGGAAACUUUCAUUAAUGAGAAAUUUCUGGCAUGUAUCUGAAUUAAUUGACUGAGGAAGACUCUCCAUAAGUGGUUCGUCGGACAAAACCCUUCCUUUUCUUUUUUCCUUUUUCAAAAUUCCCCAAUCUCCUUCCCCAAUGUGGGGUGCGAUCAUAUGUGCACUUGAAAAGAACCACCAAUUUUUAACUCAAAUGAGGAUGCAAGGGAUGAUCAGUGUUUAGGUUGAAGAAACGACGGCCAAAGUAUCAUUCUUACACCUCAUGACAACCAAGUAAACGAAUUGCUCAUUGAGAAUCCAUUCCCUUUUUGAAAAUCUUCCCAAUGUAGGGUAGUGACCAUUAAGGCUCUUAUUUGAAGCGAAAUUAUUCUUUCAAAGGCUCAAAUGGGAGAGCAAAUGAUAAAAUGUGUAUAGGUAGAGAAAAGAAUGCUCGAAGUAUCAUUCCAAAUUUUCAAAACAAACAAGAGUAAUGCACAUUUUUGCUUUCACUUAGAUGUGAACUGAAUCGGUUAAACACAAUGGAUUUUUUCAAGCAAAGAUGGCCCCAAUUUAUCAAUCAAUGUGACUGAUUUUAUUUUGGGGUCAAAUGAAGGAGAAAAGGAAUCUCAUAGGGCCUUUUGAGUGACCUCUUUUAAUUCUGAGCACUCUUGUUGUGAAUUUUCAGGCAGGAGAUUGAAAAAAUUCCAAUUUAGUCUUAUUUCUUAAAAUUCAUCAUGAAAUCUCCAAUGAAUAAGAAUAAAGAAUGAAAUGUACACAAAACAAUGAUUGUCCAAAAAUUUUAUUACUGAAAAAGUUUGAAACAAAAUUUUCUCAUUCAAUUACAAUACAAAUGAGAAGAGAGAAACUUGUAAAGAGCUCCACAUAUACACUUUUUGUCUCCUUUUCUUUUGGAACAAAAUGUAUUAACAAAUCAAAUAUGCAAAAUUUUCCUUUGGAAAUAAUUACAAAAUCUCUCAGAUGCUUUAGCGUAGAGCUUCCAGAUAGAUCAUUUAUGUUUUCAUUGUAGAAUCUGUCCAAGAAUCACACAAUACUUGCAAUUUUGACACCUUAUUAGAUCAGAAGUGUCAUCAGAUAUAGAAAAAUAUUUUCCCUUUUAUUGAAGUGUUUUUUAUGAAUGCAAGGGAAGGGGGGAAAACAAAAGAAAAAUACCCUGAGUUAGUAAGAAAGAAUAUAAAAUCGGUAUGCAUGUCCUAUGGGGGGACCCUUUUUGUGCCAAGGGUAGGCCUAGCAUGAAAAUGCAAUCCUCUAGGGUAGGCACUAUACCAUACCUGAUGGAUCUGAUCAACUCAUUGAGUGAAAAAUAAUUUUAAAAAAUUUGGUCGAUUGGAGUGACGAGAGACACUUGUCAAAAUGAGGACAACGUGCGAAUGGGUUGAUCACUUUUGAUUGAUACAAGAAUUUGCAAAACGCACGGGUUUGAUCUUGACGAACUUCCUAUCGAAGAGAUUCGAACUCGUUAACAAAUUUUCUCAGUGAAGCACGGAUCAAAACUCCAACUGAUGAUUUUCUCAAAAUCGACUAGGUUUCCCUAUUUGAAAUUCGACAUUGAGACCCAAAUUGGUCAAAUGGGUUGAAUGAAGUUGACCAUUUAUAAAAAUCGACCGAAUUACCCUAAAAAGGGAAACGGGUCAAAUGAAUUGAGUGAAAUUUAAAAACUUACUCAAAAUUGGCCGGAUCGUCCUAAAAAGGAAUCUGAUCGCAUGAAAUUGAGAAUCUUAUUCAAAAUGAACCGGUUCAUCCUAAAAACUGAAAUUGGUCAAAUGAAUUAGCGAUUUAUUCAAAAUCGACCAGGUGACCCUAAAAAGGGUAAAUUGGUCAAAUGACCCUAAAAAGGGUAAAUUGGUCAAAUGAAUUGACGAUUUAUUCAAAAUCGACCGGAUGACCCUAAAAAGGGUAAAUUGGUCAAAUGAAUGGUUUAUUCAAAAUUGAUUAUGAAUUGACAAAAUGGAUCGAUUGAAUCGUCCGGCCAUUGGUGGCUUCAAAAAAAUUAGUCUAUCAGCCUUCUAAAAUCACGAUUUGGCCUCAAUUUAUCGUCUCAACAAUAAGGAAUCAUUUGUGAAUUUUCUUCAAAUUAAUGUCCUUUUACGCAAGGGAAUUUUACCAAUUAGGUUUAAAAAUGGCUAAAAAGUGAUUAUCAGACGCUCAUAUUCUAACGUGCAAAAGUUGCUUUAUUCCCUUCAAAAAGAUCGAAUCCUUACCUUACCUUGUGCACUACCCCUUCAGAUGGUACGAGAAAGGUAAACGUGCAAGUCUCAUUGGAUUAUAUAUCCGAGACAUGGGGUGGCUUAUUCCUAACCACGGGAUUCCCUAUGUGGUAUUCCCUUUCUAUGGUUUAUGCGUGAUGCCAUUUAUUAAAGCAAUGUAAAUAUGCAACAAAUAUGGCCUAAAGGGCAUAAAUAAUGCAUCGGGGGGAAGAGGCCUAAAAUGAAAUGUACUUAUUAAAAAUUAAGCAUAAUGACUGAAAUUUAAACAUGUGAGCUAUCUAGUGGGUAAGUCACUAAAAGAGUGCCAAAGAGGCCUCUUAUUGCUAAGGCAAAUGAAUGCAAGCCAAGAAAACAAAAAGAAUGGUUAGUGCAAUUGAUAGUACACAUAACACAUUGGGAGCAAUUAAGAAAAGAAAUACAAAUAAAAACAAGUAAAAGGGGUGGAACCCCUUCCCUCGUGCCUAAUGUGCUUAAUAGGGUAAGGUCGACUCUACCCUAGGCGAGUCUAACAUGGAUGCAUGAGGCUGGGGCUCACUAAUGCAACUAGACUCGAUAAGGCUUCGGCUCCCAAGCCUUCAGACCUAAGGGAAUGGGUCAUCAAUCCCAAGACCCUCGGUCGGUGGCUCGAGCGAUCCCCUAGGUAUUGCUAUGGGCGCAACGCACACCAUCCACAUACCUAGAGAAACCAUUCCUAGUCCUACAAGGCGGUGUGGGAAAGAGCCCACGAAAAAUAAAAAUAAAAUGGGAUAACAAUAAGUAAACGUGCACGUAUGAAGUGUUCCCUAUUUUGAGGGAAAGGGUUGAGAACCAACGCGAGGUUCUAGGGUGACACACCCCCCCAAAUGCAAUGCAAGCGCGAGAUAAACAAGUAAACAUACAUCCAAUCAACCAAUCAUACAUUCGUGAGCGAGGGAGUAGUUUGAGACGCGAGUGAAAUGCAAAAAAAUCCUAAAAAAAAUGCAACCCUAAAACACCCAAAUGUGAUAUAUGAAAAGGUUAAAAGAAGAAAAAGGUUGAUUAAAUCAAAUUUGCUCGGACUCUCAAAUGUCCCCAGUGGAAUCGCCAACUGUCGCGCCCCAUUUUUUGAUAAAUAAAUAAAAAUGGUUUAAAAAAAUAUAUUUUUUGUGAUUGGAAAAUGAAUUGUGAUUUAAAAGAAAAAAUGGGUCUAAAUGGGGGGUUGAGAAUGCGACGAUUUGACCCAAAAUUAUAGUUUAAAAAGGGUUUUUGAAAUAAAAAUUAGAGUCGCCACUUGGUAAUGAGUUAAGGUGUACCAAGUCACCUAAAAAUGAAUUUUUAGAAAAAAUAGGAAAAAGUAGUAAGAAACCCCUUUUAAACGACUUCUAGUUCACGUAAACCAACGAAAAAGGUUCGGGAGUCACAUUUGACGAAGGGGAAGGCAAGGAUAAAAAUCCAAGGCACCCCUUCGACCUAGCCAAGGCUAGUUGCGUUGAUUUAAUCAAAGAUUUUCUUGUUUUAACCAAAGAAUUUAUUACAUUUGGAUGUACUACAUGAAUGCAAACCCUAGGCCUAGGGGUAUUGGGGAAAUUUCUCUUCAAAGGUUGAGUGGUGCCAAUCACAUUAAUUGUGAAGCCCAAUAACGAUCCUUUGAAGAAGUCACGAAUAAUGCGAGUGGGAUGCAAAUGAAUGGAAUGCAUGUAUGCAAUGUGAGGACAUGAGCUUGAAAAAGUAAUAAAAGACAAUAAAUAUGUAAAUGAAAAUGUGCACGUGAGUGGGCAAGGUACGGUAUGUGAAAUGAUAAUAUGAAGUGCAUGUGUGCAAGUGAUGAUAAAAGUGUUCGUGUGCAAAUAAAGAAACAUAAAGGUGCACGUGUGCAAAAUGGGAGGAAAAAUGAAAGUGUGAUGAGGGUAUAAAAUGGUAGAGUGGAUUUAAAGAUGCAUGAGCCUAGGGAAUUCAUGCAUAUUGGGUACGGGGAGACCUAAAUCGUGACUCAAUUUGCCCUUUUAUAGAGGGAAUACAAGCGUGCUAAGACUUAGAAAAAGCCACACUCGUCUAUAUCCCAUAUUUAAGGGGACUCUCAAGCAAAUGAACCCUAUAACUAGCAUGAAAAUGCAAAAAUCCUAAAAUGGAGGGAAAAGGGGUUCGAGGGGCAUGCAAAAUGAUAAAACUAAAAAGAAUGCAUGACAUGUAAUGAACAUGCAAACAUGUACUAACGAGGGGAAAUCCCUAAGGGUCUAGCGUUGGACUAACCCAUUCUAUGAAUUCCGACUAGCGUUGGACUAGUGGAAACGUACAUUCAUCCAUCACAUUCAUUCAGGCUAUGAAAAGCGAGUAGACAUGCCAAACACUUAUAAACACAUAGCACAUAACAUUUAGCAUGCUCGACUAGAUGCAAGGCCCUAACAAAGCAAAUUAACACGUAGUAACUAAGCAUGCAAGACACAUAAGACAAUUAAAGCCCUAACUAUUACAUUUGCUAGUUAGGCACAUGACUUCGAUAGGUCUUCAUUGAAUGCUCCUCCAAGCCCUAUCUAUUACAUUAGGGAGACCCUACUACAAUCUAAAAGGGGGAAAAGGAAUAAAAUAAUUAAAUCCCUAACUAUUACAACUUUGGCAUUCAAGUGCCUUUCAAAUGAUCAAAUUGAACUAAAAUAAAUGUACAAAACCCAUAAAGUAAAUAAAUAAAUGAAUGAAAUGAAUAAAACAUUCAAGACGCAUAAAAUCACACAUGUAAAGUCACAUAAGGCACGUAGAGUCAAAUAUAGUAAGAGAUAAGAGAUUAGGGUGUACCUCCCUUGAAUUAGGGACUCAGGAGAUGGAUUUUACUUAUUUACCCUCCAAAAUAAUAAAAAAGUCAAGGCAUCACUUUAAACAAGAUAUAAUUACAAAAGAUAGACAUGAAAUUGAAUCAAUUAAAUCAUAUAAACAACCUACUUUAAGAAGACAAAACAAUGAAGGAUUUGAUUGCAAAAAUUAACAAAAGUUUGAGGUCAAAAUUUAAAGAAAAAUAAAAUUUAGGGACCUAUUUGCAAUUACAUUAGUGACCCAAUUGAAAGAAGCCUAAAGUUUUUAGGGCCAUAACAUAAUUAAGAAAAAGUCUGAGGACUGAUUUGCAAAUCCGUUUUCUGAUUUCUUAAUGGAUCAGGCCACUGGGCCAACUUUUGUCUAUUUUUGGGCCAAAGAUCCCUUCAGCCUGCCGCAAAGCCCAGAGGCUACAUAUGGGCUGGCCUCUACUUAUCAAUAAAACAAACCCCAUCCAACGAGUGGGCUUUACCUCCUAAGCCCAACCAGAAACCCAAACAAAACAAAUUAAAUCCACUUUUACAACUCCAAGCAAAAAAAAAUUAUUACCCAACCUAAACCAAAACUAAAACCCAACAAGAUUAGCAAAUCAACUAAAAUCAUCAAGCCACAAUUAUGAUUUAAAACUCAGAAUUAAUCUAUCCAAAAAGUCACAAAAAUAUGCAAAUAGAGGAUUAAACUAAAAAGGGUAAAAUUAGUUCAAUUUUCCCAAAUUUUGGGCCACAACAAAAUUAUGCAGAGAUUGAGGGGUGAAACUGAAAUUUUCUGAAAUUAUGCUUCAUGCUUCGCAGAGGCUCUCUUCUUCGAUGCAAAUAAGAGGAAAAGUUUCUGCAACUUUUGAUGCUUCUCAAAUCUAGUAAACUAUCGGACAAAACACUCAAACAUAGCAUCUCAACAUGCAAAUGAUGAAAAUGGAAGAAAUCAACUUCAGAAAUCAUGAUUUUCUUUCCCUCUGCUCGACUAGUGAAUGUUCAGGUUCUGACCAGCUUUGCACUGGCCAGAACUCUUCUCAAUUGCGUACAGAAAUUAUAUACAAAUCUCUUUUUUGGUUCAAAUUUCUGGUUCAGGCAUUUCAACAAACAGCUACUGGGCAUUAAAAGUUUUAGCAAAUCUCUGCUCAAUUGGGGUUAUAAUCAGCCCCCAGAUUGUCAGCAAACCAAAGAAAUUCAAUCCAAACAAACACAUACAUCAUGUGUAUUCAGAAAUUGAAACAAAUUAACAGGAGAAUUGCGCAAAAAAAACGACGGCAGACCCAUUCCAAAAGUUUUACAAGAACCGAAAUUUAAAGAGGGAAAACAAAUAGCUUACCGUACUCCUGCUUGGUGCAAUUUUGUAGGUGAUGAUGGUGGAUUCAGGCGGGAUUAUGGAGGCUCCGGUUGUCCCUUCGCUCUGCUUCCUUUCAGACUCCAUCUUGUCACGCUCAAGCAGCAAAAGACCGUCGACAGGCUCAGGCUUGACAUGGCCCGUUGCCCUCUCGGUCUGCCUCUGCUUACCACCCUUUGCAGCAGCCAUUUCUCCUCCGCGAUGCCUGUCUCAAACUCAACAACGACAGAGGCUGAGGCAGCGGCAUCGACGGCCUUAGCCGCUGGAGUGGAAGAAGUGGAACCCCCCCUGCUGGUUGUUUGACCACGAGGCCGUGACGAUUUGAGCGACGCCGAUGUUGCCGCAGUUCCUCCGAGUUUUAUCCACCGCACCCCUCCUCUCUUUCUUUCUUCUUCUGUUUCUUUUUAGCCUCCGAUGAAACACUCUCCUUUUUCUCUCAACCGAAGCUUUUUCUGAUUUCCGGUUUUUUCCUCUGUUUUUGGCUUCCAAAAUUCCGCCGCCACCUCUCUGUUGCCUUUUUUUUGUUUUUCUCAUCUGAGGGCUCCCUCUCGGUCUUUCUCUCUGUUCCAGCCGCUACUCCCCUUUCUCAUUCUUUCUUAGCUUCCGUUUUACUCUGCCCGAAAUUCCUCCUCCAAGUUCCAGAUUUCAGCCGCAAGCCUCCCCUGUUUUCUUUCCUCUGUUUUUUAGCCGAAACCUUCCCUAUUUCUUGCUCUCUGUUCUUUUUCUCUGUUUUCUUGUGUUCCUCCGUCCUCGAGAUGAAGCCCUGCGUUCUCUUUUCUCUUGCGCAGGCCCUUUCCCUAGCUUUCUUUCAUUUUUCCCGAAGCCCCCCUUUUCCUCAAGCUCUCCGACCGUUUCUGUUUUAGUCUCCUAGAUUCCUUGUUGUUUUCCUUUUUUCGAUUUCUUUCUGUUUCCUCCCCGUCGCUCUUCAGAUUUUUCCGGUUCCUCUAGCCUCUGCCUCUCGUUUCUAAAUCUCUCCUUUGCCGAAGACCCCCUUUUUUCUUUUGCCCUCUGGCCUCUGUUUUUCUUUUUUCAGCCGUAGCUCCUCUCCCCAAAACUCCCUU
rnacentral:lncRNA from 1 species